GAAACGCGAUAGUUAAUGUGAAUUGCAGAAUUCAGUGAAUCAUCGAGUCUUUGAACGCACAUUGCGCCUUCUGGGAUUCCGGUAGGCACGUCUGUUCGAGCGUCAGUAAAACCUCUCCGGUUUGCAAUUUUGUAGACACGGUUUUUGGCGUGGGGAGUGGCCGCCGCGCUUCGGUGCGGGCAGGUUCCCCCGCUUAAACGUGAAGCUAGCGGUAGAUAAUAAUUGCGUUGACUCGUAGAAUAUACCGUCACCAGCCUUUAGAAUCCGCCGCCUAAACUUCGGGCUUUCGGCCCCUGACUCUUGACCUCGGAUCAGAUGAGGAUACCCGCUGAACUUAA
rnacentral:misc_RNA from 1 species